rnacentral:lncRNA from 1 species
UUUGGUUCACUGUAAAAUCGUAAAAAAUAAUUUUUGAUAGAUAAAAAAAUUUCGAUGGAAUUUUUUUUUUUUUUUUUACGUUUUAUAGUGUUUGGUUUAUAAGAAAAAAAAUAAUUUUUUAUUAAUAUUUAUUUGUUUGAAAGUUAAAAAAUCUAUAUUUAUUUGGUUCAAAAAAAAAAUUUAAAAAAUUUACGCAGCUUGAGUCUUCAUUUUCUAUCGUAAAACAACGAAAAAUGAAGACUUCAAUUUUUCUCUAUAUUCAUAAAAAUACUUUUAUGGAAAAAUAUUUUUACGUUAAUAAACCAAGCAAACAGAAAAGUAGUUUUUAUACCUAAAUUGAUUUUUCGGUUCAUUUUACAGCGAACCAAUGCCCCCUUAGCAUUUGUGCUUUACGCAGUAUACUUAGAUGAAAACAGGUGGGAUAUGAAAUAUUCAUAUCCAUAUUUUUAUUUUGCAUAUGAAUUCAGAUAGGAAUACAUAUUGAAUAUUAAAUUUUUAUUAUUAUAUUCAUUAAAAAUAGAUUCAGAUACGACUGAAUAUUUCUUCAAAUUCGGAUAUAAACCGGAUAUUUAUAGCAGAAUAUA